rnacentral:rRNA from 1 species
UGCCAGCCGCCGCGGUAAUACGUAGGUGGCAAGCGUUGUCCGGAUUUACUGGGUGUAAAGGGUGCGCAGGCGGACUCGUCAGUGUCUUGUGAAAUCCCAUGGCUUAACCAUGGAACUGCAGGGCAUACUGCGAGUCUUGAACCCGGCAGGGGCAACCGGAACUCUAGGUGGAGCGGUGAAAUGCGUAGAUAUCUAGAGGAACGCCAAAGGCGAAGGCAGGUUGCUGGGCCGGUGUUGACGCUCAGGCACGAAAGCGUGGGUAGCGAACGGGAUUAGAUA